rnacentral:rRNA from 1 species
AGUUAACGCUGGCGGUAGGCCUAACACAUGCAGGUCGAACGGCAGCACAGUAAGAGCUUGCUCUUACGGGUGGCGAGUGGCGGACGGGUGAGGAAUACAUCGGAAUCUACUUUUUCGUGGGGGAUAACGUAGGGAAACUUACGCUAAUACCGCAUACGACCUACGGGUGAAAGCAGGGGAUCUUCGGACCUUGCGCGAUUGAAUGAGCCGAUGUCGGAUUAGCUAGUUGGCGGGGUAAAGGCCCACCAAGGCGACGAUCCGUAGCUGGUCUGAGAGGAUGAUCAGCCACACUGGAACUGAGACACGGUCCAGACUCCUACGGGAGGCAGCAGUGGGGAAUAUUGGACAAUGGGCGCAAGCCUGAUCCAGCCAUACCGCGUGGGUGAAGAAGGCCUUCGGGUUGUAAAGCCCUUUUGUUGGGAAAGAAAAGCAGCAGGUUAAUACCCCGCUGUUCUGACGGUACCCAAAGAAUAAGCACCGGCUAACUUCGUG